UAGAGUUUGGAAUCAUGGCUCAGGAUGAACGCUGGCGGCGUGCCUAAUACAUGCAAGUCGAGCGAACGGACGAGAAGCUUGCUUCUCUGAUGUUAGCGGCGGACGGGUGAGUAACACGUGGAUAACCUACCUAUAAGACUGGGAUAACUUCGGGAAACCGGAGCUAAUACCGGAUAAUAUUUUGAACCGCAUGGUUCAAAAGUGAAAGACGGUCUUGCUGUCACUUAUAGAUGGAUCCGCGCUGCAUUAGCUAGUUGGUAAGGUAACGGCUUACCAAGGCAACGAUGCAUAGCCGACCUGAGAGGGUGAUCGGCCACACUGGAACUGAGACACGGUCCAGACUCCUACGGGAGGCAGCAGUAGGGAAUCUUCCGCAAUGGGCGAAAGCCUGACGGAGCAACGCCGCGUGAGUGAUGAAGGUCUUCGGAUCGUAAAACUCUGUUAUUAGGGAAGAACAUAUGUGUAAGUAACUGUGCACAUCUUGACGGUACCUAAUCAGAAAGCCACGGCUAACUACGUGCCAGCAGCCGCGGUAAUACGUAGGUGGCAAGCGUUAUCCGGAAUUAUUGGGCGUAAAGCGCGCGUAGGCGGUUUUUUAAGUCUGAUGUGAAAGCCCACGGCUCAACCGUGGAGGGUCAUUGGAAACUGGAAAACUUGAGUGCAGAAGAGGAAAGUGGAAUUCCAUGUGUAGCGGUGAAAUGCGCAGAGAUAUGGAGGAACACCAGUGGCGAAGGCGACUUUCUGGUCUGUAACUGACGCUGAUGUGCGAAAGCGUGGGGAUCAAACAGGAUUAGAUACCCUGGUAGUCCACGCCGUAAACGAUGAGUGCUAAGUGUUAGGGGGUUUCCGCCCCUUAGUGCUGCAGCUAACGCAUUAAGCACUCCGCCUGGGGAG
rnacentral:rRNA from 1 species